rnacentral:misc_RNA from 1 species
GUUUUCUUCUUCCUGGGGGCUGUUUAAGAUCACCAGAAUGAAGGUUUCUAACAACCCCAAAUAAUAAGCAGAAAAUAUUUAGAUGUUAGUACUAGACCAUGUCUUACUUUAUUUUCCAUUUUAGGCUUAAGUGCAUAAUCUUAUAGGGGAUACAAAGGCUGUAUCACCCACACCGUGGUGUUGCAAUUGUUACAUAGGCUUUUGAAUUCAUAUGAAACAUUUUUUUCUUUGCCCCAUUCUCUUUCCCCCUUGCCCCUUUAAAUUCAAGCUGAUCAUAAUUACGAACAAGAAAGCUCUUGAGUCUUUUAAAGAGGUUCGUUCCUGUGGUGGAUUAUUUUGGACAAUCACGUAGCAUCUUAUCUAUUCCUGUGAGUACAUCGCACAGAACUAUUUUAUUGCUGCAAUUUGAAGAGGCAUUGAUGUUCAGUUUUGGUCAUGUCAGAAAGUCUCAGUAUUUCUUCAUUUCUUUUUGCUGAUUUGAAAAUCAAAGCAAAUAAAAAUUUGAAGUUGUAGAAUACCAU